AUUGAACGCUAGCGGCAUGCCUUACACAUGCAAGUCGAACGGCAGGCACGGGGGCAACCCUGGUGGCGAGUGGCGAACGGGUGAGUAAUGCAUCGGAACGUGCCCAUCGAUGGGGGAUAACUGCGCGAAAGCGUUGCUAAUACCGCAUACGACCUACGGGUGAAAGCAGGGGACCGCAAGGCCUUGCGUCGAUGGAGCGGCCGAUGCCGGAUUAGCUAGUUGGUGAGGUAAAGGCUCACCAAGGCGACGAUCCCGUAGCUGGUCUGAGAGGACGACCAGCCACACUGGGACUGAGACACGGCCCAGACUCCUACGGGAGGCAGCAGUGGGGAAUCUUGGACAAUGGGCGAAAGCCUGAUCCAGCAAUGCCGCGUGUGGGAAGAAGGCCUCGGGUUGUAAACCACUUUUGGCGGGAAAGAAAUGGUCUGUGCUAAUACCACGGAUUGAUGACGGUACCCGCAGAAUAAGCACCGGCUAACUACGUG
rnacentral:rRNA from 1 species